rnacentral:rRNA from 1 species
CCCUUAGAUGUCCUGGGCUGCACGCGCGCUACACUGGAAGUUACGGAUUGAGAUACUACCUUGUCCGAAAUGGUCCGGGUAAUCACCUAAAAGCUUGUCAUAAUUGGAAUGGAUUAUUGUAACUAGUAAUCCUGAACGAGGAAUUCCUAGUAAGUCCCGGUCAACAGCUGGUACUGAUUACGUCCCUGCCCUUUGUACACACCGCCCGUCGCUACUACUGAUUGGACGUUUAAGCAAGAUUUUUAAACACUGACAGUGUGUAGUUCACGCUAUACUACAGUGAGAAGAAGAAGAUCGAGCUUACUUGUCUAGAGGAAGUAAAAGUCGUAACA